rnacentral:lncRNA from 1 species
AAAUAAACACACAUUCAAUUUUUAAAAUUUGACUUGAGUUCUUCUCCUUUCAAAUUUAACUUGAAUUUGACUUUCAAAUUCAAAUUUUAGAAAUUCUUCUCCCCUUUUUUGUUGCUUCUCCUCCUUUUUGAAAGAUUGUAGUAAAUUCAGAUCAAAUUUUUUUCCUUAUUUUUGAAUAAUAUAGAUUCAAAAGUACUUUUUUUCUUUUGAAUAGUGUAGAUUUAAAAUGCAUCUCUCUCUUUUUGAGUAAAGUUGAUGCAUUAAAGAGAUUUUCAAAUUUAAUUACAAAACUACUUUAAACUUCAUAGAUUUCAAAAGAAAUAGAGCUUAUUAAAAAAUAAAAUUCAGAGA